rnacentral:rRNA from 1 species
UACAGAGGGGGCAAGCGUUGUUCGGAAUUACUGGGCGUAAAGGGCGCGUAGGCGGCCUUCUAAGUCGAACGUGAAAUCCCCGGGCUCAACCCGGGAACUGCGUCCGAUACUGGAAGGCUUGAAUCCGUGAGAGGGAUGCGGAAUUCCAGGUGUAGCGGUGAAAUGCGUAGAUAUCUGGAGGAACACCGGUGGCGAAGGCGGCAUCCUGGACCGGCAUUGACGCUGAGGCGCGAAAGCCAGGGGAGCAAACGGG